rnacentral:misc_RNA from 1 species
AACGCAAAUUGCACUCUUUUCGGAGAGUAUGCCUGUUUGAGGGUCAAUAUAAUAAAAAUCGGUAUGUUGCUUUUUUUGUGACGUUCCGGAAUUUGAGUUGUCUUAAUUUUUUAGUUUAAGAGGCUUAAAAUUGACCUUUUUUGCGCAUUUUUUAGACGUACAUAAAUUUUUUUUUUUAUUCGUUUAUUCUAAUGCCAAAAUCUAUUAGAUGCGACCAUAUCAUGUGGUUUCGUGUCCAUAAAUUUUCAUGAUUUGACCUCAAAUCAGGUAGGAACACCCGCUGAACUUAA